rnacentral:rRNA from 1 species
GUAGCAUAAUCAUUUGUCUUAUAAUUGAAGGCUGGUAUGAAUGAGUUUACGGUGCUAAGACUUUUUUAAAUAAAAUUUUGAAUUUAACUUUUUCAUUAAAAGGUGAAAAUGGUCAAAGGGACGAUAAGACCCUAUAAAGCUUAAAUCAACAGGUUUGUUUAUUAUUAAGAAUAUUGAAUAAAUUUAUGGAUUGAGCUGGGGCGGUACUUAUUUUUCUAUAAGAAAUUUAACAUUUAUAAAUGAAAAUUUAGAUCUUAAAAAAGAUUUAGAAUAAGCUACUUUAGGGAUAACAGCAUAAUUUUUUAAAAUAGAUCUUAUAGAUUAACAAGACUUAUGACCUCGAUGUUGAAUUGAGGGGCUUCCUAUAAGCAGGAGUAUAGUGAAGGGGUCUGUUCGACCUUUAA